UACAGGGGGCGCGAGCGUUGCUCGGAAUCACUGGGCGUAAAGCGUACGCAGGCGGGGCGAUAAGGUCGUUGUGAAAUCCCGGGGCUCAACCCCGGAACUGCGAUGAAGACUGUCGAUCUUGAGUACGGGAGAGGGGAGCGGAAUUCCUGGUGUAGAGGUGAAAUUCGUAGAUAUCAGGAGGAACACCGGUGGCGAAAGCGGCUCCCUGGCCCGAUACUGACGCUCAUGUACGAAAGCGUGGGGAGCAAACAGG
rnacentral:rRNA from 1 species